rnacentral:rRNA from 1 species
CAAGGUUAAAACUCAAAAUGAAUUUGACGGGGGCCCGCACCAGCGGUUGAGCAUGUGGUUUAAUUCGAUGCAACGCGAAGAACCUUACCUGGUCUUGACAUCCACGGAAGUUCUUCAGAGAUGAGAAUGUGCCUUCGGGAACCGUCAGACAGGUGCUGCAUGGCUGUCGUCAGCUCGUGUUGUGAAAUGUUGGGUUAAGUCCCGCAACGAGCGCAACCCUUAUCCCUUUGUUAGCAGCGGUCCGGCCGGGAACUCAAAGGAGACUGUUAGUGAUAAACUGGAGGAAGGUGGGGAUGACGUCAAGUCAUCAUGGCCCUUACGACCAGGGCUACACACGUGCUACAAUGGCGCAUACAAAGAGAAGCGACCUCGCGAGAGCAAGCGGACCUCAUAAAGUGCGUCGUAGUCCGGAUUGGAGUCUGCAACUCGACNNCAAGAAGUCGGAAUCGCUAGUAAUCGUGGAUCAGAAUGCCACGGUGAA